rnacentral:lncRNA from 12 species
UUGAAGACAAAAGACCAGGUCCAGCAGCAGCGAGAGAGGAUGGGAAGGGUGGAAAGCUUACUGCAUUCAUUGGAUUUUGUCAUUCUUAAUUUUUUUUCCCAGCAGGAAACACGUGAAAGUAACGAAGUUGGCAGCUUUCAUAGACACCCUAUAAACAACACCCCUUUCUACUUUCAGCACUCUCCUGGGAGCAGCACGAUGCACUUCAUUAAUAAGAAGGGAUUAAAGGAAAAAGCCCUCGUCUCCUAAUACACUUGGAUAAUUUGGUGCCAUCCACAAGGCAAUAGACCCCUGCUGCAUAGAUGUCAUUAGAAAGGUACAAUUUCAUUACUUUUUACUGGCAGAGCCUUGAGUGAAAUACAAAAUAUGUUGUCUCAUAUGCAGGGGAAAAAAGUGCUAAAGCUUUCAUUCACUUCAUGCUUCUAAAAUAGUAGAAUGCAAAAAUAUAUUUUAUGGUUUUUACAUUUAUAUUGCCUUCCCUUAGUAGUCCUUGAAGUCAAGCUUUUAUUAAACACUGAGCAAAAUCAAGAUUAAAAAGGAAAUUAUUUACAUUCUUAAAUCCUAAAUGAAAUUCAUAUUUUUAGUAACUAACACAUACCUACUAAGUGUCAGGCACUCUCCUAGUUGCUGGAAAACAAAUUAUAAAAACAUAAUUCAUGCCUUUUUUUAAGCAUUAACAUAUUAAAUAUUUUAACUCAAAGUGAGUAUGAAAGUGAGCGUGUAAGAAGUAAACCACAUGGCUGAAUAAAAGAGAUUGUAAGCCAGUAAAUUGUAAGUGU